CAUAGGUUUGGUCCCAGCCCUUCUAUUAGUUGCUAGCAAAACUACACAUGCAAGUAUCCGCCCCCCAGUGAAAAUGCCCUAUAAGUCACAACCCGACAAAAAGGAGCAGGUAUCAAGCACACAUUCAAUGUAGCUCAAGACGCCUUGCUCAGCCACGCCCCCACGGGAGACAGCAGUGAUAAAAAUUAAGCAAUAAACGAAAGUUUGACUAAGUUAUGCUUGCUAAGGGUUGGUAAAUUUCGUGCCAGCCACCGCGGUCAUACGAUUAACCCUAAUUAAUAGACCUACGGCGUAAAACGUGUUUAAGAGACUCCCUUCGACUAAAGCCAAACUCUAGCCAUGCUGUAAAAAGCCCCGGCUAUUGUAAGCCCUACCACGAAAGUGACUUUAAACCAUCUGAACACACGACAGCUAAGGCCCAAACUGGGAUUAGAUACCCCACUAUGCUUAGCCGUAAACUUAAAGAAUUUGCUAAAACAAAAUUCUUCGCCAGAGAACUACUAGCCAAAGCUUAAAACUCAAGGGACUUGGCGGUGCUUUAUACCCCUCUAGAGGAGCCUGUUCUAUAAUCGAUAAACCCCGAUAAACCUCACCAACCCUUGCCAACUCAGCCUAUAUACCGCCAUCUUCAGCAAACCCCGAAAGGGAGCCAUAGUAAGCUCAAUCAUCUCACAUAAAGACGUUAGGUCAAGGUGUAGCCUAUGGGUUGGAAAGAAAUGGGCUACAUUUCCUAUUACUAGGUCACUCCACUCUUCAAACGAAAGCCCUCAUGAAAACAAGGGCUGAAGGCGGAUUUAGUAGUAAGCUGAGAAUAGAGCGCUCAGCUGAAUAAGGCCAUGAAGCACGCACACACCGCCCGUCACCCUCCUCAAGUACUAACAGUAGAUCUUAAUCCUAUUUAACGCCUACUAUACGUACUAGAUGAGACAAGUCGUAACAAGGUAAGCAUACUGGAAAGUGUGCUUGGACAACA
rnacentral:ncRNA from 1 species